ACAGUUCUGUUCACACAUUAAGUAGUAAAUACAUUACCAUGAAAUACUUAGCUAUCUUUUUAGUGCUGGCUUUGGUUGUCAUUGCGUAUGGCGACGAUGUUGAGCCCGCUCAAAAAAUUCCUAGUACUAAUCGCUACGGAAUUACUUGCAACGACUCACCUGACUGUUACGUCUAUUGCCAGUACCGCUGCGGUGGGUACGCCAUAUCAGCGCUCUGCUAUUUGAACACUUGCUACUGUGGUGUAAAGUUGCACUGAUUAGACAAAUUGGAUAUUAAUAAAUAAUUUUGUUGAUA